GGGAUCGCUUACGGGUAAGCUUCUGCUCUUGCACAGCGGAAUAGAGGGUUCAACUCCCUCCGGUUCCA
rnacentral:tRNA from 1 species